GUGAAAUUGUUGAAAGGGAAGCGCUUGCAACCAGACCUGCCUGCAGUUGCUCAUCCGGGCUUUUGCCCGGUGCACUCUUCUGCUGUCAGGCCAGCAUCGGUUCGGGCGGUCGGAUAAAGGCUUCGGGAAUGUAGCUCCUCUCGAGGAGUGUUAUAGCCCGUUGCGAAAUGCGGCCAGCCUGAACUGAGGUCCGCGCUUCGGCUAGGAUGCUGGCGUAAUGGUUGUAAGCGGCCCGUCUUGAAACACGGACCAAGGAGUCUAACAUCUGUGCGAGUGUUUGGGUGUCAAACCCGUACGCGUAAUGAAAGUGAACGGAGGCGGGAACCCCUCGGGGUGCACCGUCGACCGAUCCUGAUGUCUUCGGAUGGAUUUGAGUAAGAGCAUAGCUGUUGGGACCCGAAAGAUGGUGAACUAUGCCUGAAUAGGGUGAAGCCAGAGGAAACUCUGGUGGAGGCUCGCAGCGGUUCUGACGUGCAAAUCGAUCGUCAAAUUUGGGCAUAGGGGCGAAAGACUAAUCGAACUAUCUAGUAGCUGGUUCCUGCCGAAGUUUCCCUCAGGAUAGCAGUAACGUUUUCAGUUUUAUGAGGUAAAGCGAAUGAUUAGAGGCCUGGGGGUUGAAACAACCUUCACCUAUUCUCAAACUUUAAAUAUGUAAGAAGUCCUUGUUACUUAGUUGAACGUGGACAUUUGAAUGUAUCGUUACUAGUGGGCCAUUUUUGGUAAGCAGAACUGGCGAUGCGGGAUGAACCGAACGCGGAGUUAAGGUGCCGGAAUGCACGCUCAUCAGACACCACAAAAGGUGUUAGUUCAUCUAG
rnacentral:rRNA from 1 species